rnacentral:rRNA from 1 species
GACGAACGCUGGCGGCGUGCUUAACACAUGCAAGUCGAACGGAAAGGCCCUGCUUUUGUGGGGUGCUCGAGUGGCGAACGGGUGAGUAACACGUGAGUAACCUGCCCUUGACUUUGGGAUAACUUCAGGAAACUGGGGCUAAUACCGGAUAGGAGCUCCUGCUGCAUGGUGGGGGUUGGAAAGUUUCGGCGGUUGGGGAUGGACUCGCGGCUUAUCAGCUUGUUGGUGGGGUAGUGGCCUACCAAGGCUUUGACGGGUAGCCGGCCUGAGAGGGUGAACGGGCACAAUGGGACUGAGAUACGGCCCAGACUCCUACGGGAGGCAGCAGUGGGGAAUAUUGCACAAUGGGCGGAAGCCUGAUGCAGCAAUGCCGCGUGCGGGAUGAAGGCCUUCGGGUUGUAAACCGCUUUCGCCUGUGACGAAGCGUGAGUGACGGUAAUGGGUAAAGAAGCACCGGCUAACUACGUG